GAAAGCCGUAUGAUGGGAAACCAUCACGUACGGUUUGGGAGGCAGGGUAACCAGUCCACUGACCUCAC
rnacentral:ncRNA from 1 species